CCUACGGGUGGCUGCAGUGGGGAAUAUUGGGCACUGGACGCAAGUCUGACCCAGCAACGCCGCGUGAAGGCAGAAGGCUUUCGGGUUGUAAACUUCGUUUAAGGGGGAAGAGAAGAAGACGGUACCUCUUGAAUAAGCCAUGGCUCACUACGUGCCAGCAGCCGCGGUAAUACGUAGGGGGCAAGCGUUGUCCGGAUUUACUGGGUGUAAAGGGCGUGCAUCCGGAGAGACAAGUCAGAUGUGAAAUCCACGGGCUCAAACCGUGACUGGCAUUUGAAACUGGUUGCCGUGAGUGUCGGAGAGGUAAUCGGAAUUCCUGGGGUAGCGGUGAAAUGCGUAGAUAUAAGGAAGAACACCAGUGGCGAAGGCAGAUUACUGGACGAUAACUGACGGUGAGGCGCGAAAGCGUGGGGAGCAAACAGGAUUAGAUACCCGGGUAGUC
rnacentral:rRNA from 1 species